rnacentral:rRNA from 1 species
GAUGAACGCUGGCGGCGUGCCUAAUACAUGCAAGUCGAGCGAACAGACGAGGAGCUUGCUCCUCUGACGUUAGCGGCGGACGGGUGAGUAACACGUGGAUAACCUACUUAUAAGACUGGGAUAACUUCGGGAAACCGGAGCUAAUACCGGAUAAUAUAUUGAACCGCAUGGUUCAAUAGUGAAAGACGGUUUUGCUGUCACUUAUAGAUGGAUCCGCGCCGCAUUAGUUAGUUGGUAAGGUAACGGCUUACCAAGGCAACGAUGCGUAGCCGACCUGAGAGGGUGAUCAGCCACACUGGAACUGAGACACGGUCCAGACUCCUACGGGAGGCAGCAGUAGGGAAUCUUCGGCAAUGGGCGAAAGCCUGACGGAGCCACGCCGCGUGAGUGAUGAAGGUCUUCGGAUCGUAAAACUCUGUUAUUAGGGAAGAACAAAUGUGUAAGUAACUAUGGACGUCUUGACGGUACCUAAUCAGAAAGCCACGGCUAACUACGUG